UGACGGACGGGUGAGUAACGCGUGGAAAACCUGCCGUAUACUGGGGGAUAACACUUAGAAAUAGGUGCUAAUACCGCAUAAGCGCACAGCUUCGCAUGAAGCGGUGUGAAAAACUCUGGUGGUAUACGAUGGUUCCGCGUCUGAUUAGCUAGUUGGUGGGGUAAUGGCCUACCAAGGCAACGAUCAGUAGCCGGCCUGAGAGGGUGAACGGCCACAUUGGGACUGAGACACGGCCCAAACUCCUACGGGAGGCAGCAG
rnacentral:rRNA from 1 species